rnacentral:rRNA from 1 species
UACAGAGGGCGCGAGCGUUGUCCGGAAUCACUGGGCGUAAAGGGCGCGUAGGUGGCCACUAUAAGGCCGCGGUGAAAGUUCGGGGCUCAACCCUGAAUCUGCCGCGGCGACUGUAGGGCUUGGGCAUCGUAGAGGCAGAUGGAAUUCCGGGUGUAGCGGUGGAAUGCGUAGAGAUCCGGAAGAACACCGGUGGCGAAGGCGGCGACCUGGUCCGUGACUGACGCUGAGGCGCGAAAGCGUGGGGAGCAAACAGG